UUCCAGAACCUGCAAAUUAGUACUAAUUAGCACUAAUUCUGCUACAACGCGUUCCCGUACUCCAAAAACUAGCAAAACUUGCAGCUCUCUCGAGAAAAAAAUGGCGCUGAGUGGUGCACAUUUCUGCUUGUUUUAGCUACAUGAAUUUGGCCGAGCAGAAAUGUGCAUAUUGUAAAUUUGACAUUUAAUUGGCAGGGCUAACAAGGUUGAAAAAUGUAUUGAUACAUUUCAAUAAAGAAAAUGACCAACUUGAAAACUAAAGGAAAAACUAAUAGUUGUGUUCCAGAACCUAAAAGUUAGUACUAAUUAGUGCUAAUUCUACUACAACGCGUUCCCGUACUCCAAAAACUAGCAAAACUUGCAGCUCUCUCGAGAAUAAAAUGGCGCUGAGUGGUGCACAUUUCUGCUUGUUUUAGCUACAUGAAUUUGGCCGAGCAGAAAUGUGCAAAUUGUAAAUUUGAUAUUUAAUUGGCAGGGCUAACAAGGUUGAAAAAUGUAUUAAUACAUUUCAAUGUUCGCGCGUAACAACAAAUGUAAAGAAAAAAGAUUAACUUAAAAAAUAAAGAAUAACUAAUAUUUGUCGUGCAAAAAACAAAAAGAGAAAAUAUGGAGCAACUGAUGUAUUCACUUUUGGAUGAUUCCAGCAGUAAAGAGGAUUGGCUGAAUGAGGAAUCAGACGAAGAAAACGUAUUGGAAAACAGUGCAAAAUUAGUAAAAGGUUGGCUGUCUUCCUAACUUGUAGCAUUAAGUCUUCUUGCAGACUUAACAUUAAUUUAACCGGCGCCUCCAACCAUGUGAGCUUUUCCGGGUUGGGAUUUGAGAAAACUCCACCUCUAAAUACUCUUCAACGCAUUCUGAAAACAAAACUUUCUAAAUAAACACCAUUCAAAAAUAA